CCUACGGGAGGCAGCAGUGGGGAAUUUUGGACAAUGGGCGCAAGCCUGAUCCAGCUAUUCCGCGUGUGGGAAGACGGCCUUCGGGUUGUAAACCACUUUUGUAGAGAACGAAAAGUCUAUUGAUAAUACCGAUAGACGAUGACGGUACUCUAAGAAUAAGCACCGGCUAACUACGUGCCAGAAGCCGCGGUAAUAGGUAGGGUGGGAGCGUUAAUCGGAUUUACUGGGCGUAAAGGGUGUGUAGGUGGUUUUGCAAGAUGGAUGUGAAAGCCCCGGGCUUAACCCGGGAAAGCCAUACGAGACUGCGAGACUAGAGUGCGUCAGAGGGGGGUGGAAUGCCGAGUGUAGCAGUGAAAUGCGUAGAUAUUUGGAAGAACACCGAUGGCGAAGGCAGCCCCCUGGGACGCAACUGACGCUCAUGCACGAAAGCGUGGGGAGCAAACAGGAUUAGAUACCCGUGUAGUC
rnacentral:rRNA from 1 species